AUUGUGGACUCGUAUGAAAGGCAAAAUGAGAGCCUGACUGUCUCUUACAACUAAUCAAUUAAACUGAUCUCCCAGUACAAAAGCUGGGAUACCCCCAUAAGACCAGAAGACCCUGUGAAGCUUUAACUAACCUAUUAAACCUUAUAAUAAUUAGUUUCGGUUGGGGCGACCUUGGAAUAAAAAAGAACUUCCAACAUAUGACCUCCUCAUAAAAAGGCAAACAAGCCACAUUAGACCCAGUAUAUCUGAUUAAUGAACUAAGUUACUCCAGGGAUAACAGCGCUAUCUUCUUCAAGAGCCCAUAUCAAAAAGAAGGUUUACGACCUCGAUGUUGGAUCAGGACAUCCUAGUAAUGCAACCGUUACUGAGGGUUCGUUUGUUCAACGAUUAACAGUCCUACGUGAUCUGAG
rnacentral:rRNA from 1 species